rnacentral:rRNA from 1 species
GGUUACCUUGUUACGACUUCACCCCAGUUGCUGAUCGUACCGUAGUCAAAGGUAUAAGCUUUGCCUUAAGGUGUAACCAACUUCCAUGGUGUGACGGGCGGUGUGUACAAGACCCGGGAACGUAUUCACCGCGGCGCGCUGAUCCGCGAUUACUAGCAAUUCCAGCUUCAUGCACUCGAGUUACAGAGUACAAUCCGAACUGAGGUACAUUUUAGAGAUUGGCUAGGACUUGCAUCUUUGCUUCUCAUUGUAAGUACCAUUGUAGCACGUGUGUAGCCCAACACAUAAGGGCCAUGAGGACUUGACGUCAUCCCCACCUUCCUCCAGCUUAUCACUGGCAGUUCUUUUAAAGUGCCCAACUAAAUGGUGGCAACUAAAAAUAGGGGUUGCGCUCGUUGCGGGGACUUAACCCAACAU